rnacentral:rRNA from 1 species
GACGAACGCUGGCGGCGUGCUUAACACAUGCAAGUCGAGCGGAAAGGCCCUUUCGGGGGUACUCGAGCGGCGAACGGGUGAGUAACACGUGAGUAAUCUGCCCUUGGCUUUGGGAUAACCACCGGAAACGGUGGCUAAUACCGGAUACGGCCACUCCCGGCAUCGGGUGGUGGUGGAAAGUUUUUUCGGCCAGGGAUGUGCUCGCGGCCUAUCAGCUUGUUGGUGGGGUAAUGGCCUACCAAGGCUUCGACGGGUAGCCGGAGUGAGAGGGUGAGCGGCCACACUGGGACUGAGACACGGCCCAGACUCCUACGGGAGGCAGCAGUUGGGAAUAUUGGACAAUGGGCGGAAGCCUGAUCCAGCAACGCCGCGUGAGGGAUGACGGCCUUCGGGUUGUAAACCUCUUUCAGUACCGACGAAGCGCCGAUGAUGGUGGUGACGGUAGGUACAGAAGAAGCACCGGCCAACUACGUGCCAGCAGCCGCGGUAAUAC